AUUUUUGAAGAAGUUUCCACUUGAUCCAGAUCGGUGUCAUUCUUGGGUCAAAGCAGUUGGGAAUGAAGACUGCUUACAUACCCGUUAAAAAAUUGCAUGAAA